rnacentral:lncRNA from 1 species
UAAAAUUAAUCGUAGCAUGGACGGUAACGCUAGUAUAUAUAUAAACCUUAAAAUACCCAAUACAAAUAUUAAACUCUUUUUAAUGAUGGGGAAUCUUCGAUCGGGAGGAAAAUAAAUAAAUGAGGGAAAAGUAAGAAAUAAUGUGAUUGGUCGAUGUCAAAAAAGAUGGAUCACUCGUUCUCAUGUCCUAUUGGUUUUUCGUCAUCGUGGAGCUCGCCGUCAAUGGCGAAGAGAGAAAAUGAGUUUACCAGAAGAAGAAAAACAAUCAAAGCGGUUGGAGAAGAUCGAGAGACGAUAGCAACUCUCAACAAGAGUUCUCUGGUUUUGACUUGGAACAGAGAUCGAAACGGAGGUCCGAUCAGAGAGACAGAGACGAAGCGAUAGAGAGGAAGAGAUAGAGACGAACAGAGGAAGAGAGGAAGAGGGGAAGAAUCGAAAGACUUUGUUUUUUUUUCAACUACACGUGUACUCUAAGCGACGGCUCUUCCACCGCUUAAUUAAGAUACGUUUCUUGCCUUAUUUACAUUUUUUCUUUUUCUUUAAAUCAUAAUUACCCUAAGAAACUUGUCUAAGAGACAGGGAUAAUUGUGCUCUAAGGAUCCCGAGCUCGUGGAACAACCUUUGAACAAAUAUGAACAGAUCGAGGCGUAAAGGACCCAAAAUGCAACGAUUAUAGACCAAAACGUAAUAUAAUUAUUUCUUAAUUGACGAAAAACCUGAGGCAAAUUGCCGAAAACCAAAGACGUAUGGAGAAAAUAAAACAAAAGUGGG